CUGCUGUUUCAAACAUCACAUGUUGCCUGUACAAGUAUUUGCGUCUCUUCAUCAAGUCACCUCCACCAGUGUUGUGUUCCGUGCAUGUCGUUACUAGCUGACAACGGAGCCAGAGCUGCCAAAAGACGUGAUUCUACCUCAAGCAGCUAUCAUAUAUAUACCCGGCUAGCUACAAUUUCUCAUCAACCUGGUCCUAAUAUUUCAUCUACGACGCGGUCACACAUUCAGCGGACGAUUUCUGAUUGAUAACGUGAGAUAACUAACGUUGAAGGAGCUGAAAGAGUCACAGCUAACGUUAAUGAAUCGUUGAUGAAAGGCAUAUUCUGAUUCCAAGAGCUAAUGUUACGCUAAGCUGCUUGUUAGCUGCUACACGGGUAACGUUAUGCCUGUUAUUAUCCAAAAGCCAGAAGUAGUGGAUAAUAUCACCUAUAGUUUGCUGUGAAUAGGAUGCGUGAACAGAAUCUACUUUAAAUAAGUGACCUUUUAGAAAUUGUUCGAGAUCUUUUCAGAUCACGAAUUGGCUAACGUUACAGGCUCUGCAAUAUUGGGUAACUUGGUCGGCUAUCCUUUAUUAGCGUAGUGAGCUAGACAUCAGUUAGCUUGCUGGCUAAACGUAAACAAUAACUAUACGGUAAGACUAGCCAAUUCAUAAAGCUGUCUAAAUGAUCCUUCAGUGUGUCCAGUUAGUUAUCGUAACAUAUUGGAGCUUGCUAGUUAGCUAGCAGUAGUACCGGUAGCUUUCGGCUAUAUUAGCUUGCGAAAGUAGCUGAAGGUAUGUAGCCAUCGUUACAUUAGUUGUAGUUCACGUCAUGUGCGAUCUACUUUCCCGUCUCUCAUUACCAAGUAGGUUUUUAGCCUACAAGCUAAUUGUUGUCAAAUUUAUUAUAGCAACAUAAUUAUAUUAUUUACGUUAUCUCUGUGUUAAGUGACAUAUUGUGGAUGAGCUAGAUAGCAAGCUUGUUUGUCAGUCAUUUAGGUGUUAACAUCAACGCUAGCUAACUCAUUGUGUGAAUUGCAAGUUCAUACAUGUCAGUAUUCGUAUUUGCCGGAUAGUGUAAACAUCAAGUCAGGCACUGAGUGAACCUUUCUCAAACCAUGAAAAACUGUGAAUACCAACAAAUUGAUCCACGGACACUGACUACACCAACGGCAACACCUACGUCAACGCUACCGCUUGCUAGUAAAAAUGUCCAGCGACAGCGGAGAAAGUGGGAAGUGUUUCCCGGGAGGAAUCGUUUCUUUUGUGAUGGACGGAUUAUUGUUGCCCGUCAAAGCGGUGUGCUACCAUUGACUCUUGGCCUUAUCCUUAUCACCAGUGGCCUAUUUUUUAUAUUUGACUGCCCCUUUCUGGUGGCACAUCUGACUGUAUGCAUCCCAGUCAUUGCUGGAGUGCUGUUUGUGUUCGUGGUCUUUUCUCUCUUACACACCAGCUUUACAGACCCUGGCAUAUUGCCGAGGGCCUUGCCAGAUGAGGCUGCCGACAUUGAGAAGCAGAUAGAUAACUCAGGCUCCUCCACCUACCGCCCACCACCACGAACGAAAGAGAUCCUCAUCAAUGACCAGGUGGUUAAGCUAAAAUACUGCUUUACCUGCAAAAUGUUCCGGCCCCCUCGCACAUCACACUGCAGCCUGUGCGACAACUGCGUGGAGAGGUUUGACCAUCACUGCCCCUGGGUCGGAAACUGUGUUGGCAAGCGAAACUACCGCUUCUUCUACACCUUCAUUGUGUCCCUCUCUUUCCUGACCUCCUUCAUAUUUGGCUGCGUGAUCACCCAUCUCACAUUGCGAGCCCAGGGAGGCAGCGGUAUCCUCAAUGCUGUUCAGCAGAGUCCUGCCAGUAUUGUGGAGUUGGUGGUCUGCUUUUUCUCCAUAUGGUCUAUUUUGGGCCUGUCAGGCUUCCAUACGUAUUUGGCAGCCUCAAACCUCACCACCAAUGAGGAUAUCAAAGGGUCAUGGUCGAGCAAAAGGGGGUUAGAGGACUAUAAGAAUCCCUACAGCUACAACAACAUCUUCACCAACUGCUGUGUGGUGCUUUGUGGACCCAUGCCUCCCAGUAUGAUAGACAGAAGAGGUUUCUUGCCUCCAGAGGACACUCCGCCCAUCAUUACCGCAGAGCAGGAGCUUCCGCCUUUCUUGUCCAAGAACGACACAAACAUGGAGGAGACCUGUCAGGACUUUUCCCUGUCCUGCACUGGCUGAAGGGAAGUAUGCCCUCUCCGCUGGGCAUAGGAGGGGGCAGCAGGGAUGGUAAGGGGUGCACGCAAGGCACCAAGGAGCUUCUUGAGACGGUGGCUCACUCCCCCAUAUUUCAAAGCCAGUGCUCGCCCGCCACCCCCAAAACGGUCCCCGUAAGCCCCAGCCAGCAGGACACGCGCCCGAUCGCCGUCUCCAGCCCGCAGGGGUCCCGUGCCCCCUUGCCCUCGACACCCACUGGUUGCUCAGGGCGCCAGGCCCGGGAGACGCACCCUUGCCCCCCCUCGAAGGGCUUCCUCGCCCGCAAUACCAGCUGCAUGCUGGGCAGCCUGGCCUACCUGCACCCUCACGGUACCCUCAUCUUCAGCGACUCCUCGGAGCUCGGCUUCCUGCCUCUGCCGUAGAGUCUCCGCGUACCAAACACACGCUUCAACCUACGGACACUGAACUGCGUAUGUGGUUACAAUAACAGUCCUUGAAUGCUCUGUUCCACCCUCACCCCCCCACCCCCUCCUUUUGGCUUGAUUACUGUCUCAAGCCUGAGAAUGUGGUUCUUGGUUGCCACCCUGAACACAGACUACAAGGGUUUCCUCCCCAAAGCACCGAACAGUUAAUAUAUGGGUACUGAAACCCUGUACACUGAACUGAACACUUUGUUACUCCCUUCAACCCCAAACUCUGAAGUCGGUCUAAGCAUGCUCUCGGCCACAAACUCAAAGAGAGAGGUGCUGUUCAGAAAGCCAUUGUACAUGCAGAAUGACAGCACACUGACUCCAGAGGACUGCUGAUAGCAUCAGGGCAUGGUUAUGGGCGCGAUGUGUUGUCUGUCUUGAGUUGUUAUUGUUGUUAUUAUUAUUAUUAUUAUUAUUAUUAUUAUUAUUACUGUUAUUAUUUCUAUUUCAUUUUCAAACUCAGGAUUCUCUUGUGAGAGAUGCCAUAUAUCCUUAAAUCCCAGUCCCAGGAUUCUUAGUAAGGAAAGUGACGGUAAGCGACUGUAUCCACACAAGCCUCACCACAACACUAAAGCACAAAACAAAACAUUUUCACAAGAUUUUUCUCUCCCACCCUGACGCACAGUCACAGAGCCUCUGAGGAAGGCUGUCCUGAGCCACCUGAAGCAGCCUUUGCACCGUCGCUGGUCAGCCUCUGCCCCAAGCAUCCCAAUAAGGCACUUUUAACCUGGUCAAAGUAUACUGCUGGAUAGGACUGGGAGUGCACUCCAGGGAUGUAGGGAUCCUAUAGGGGUGAUCUGUCCUGGAGCAGAUGAUUUCACUCCUUGUUUGUGGGCCUCUGAUAUCUGUGUGUCCCUGACUGUUGGGAUCACUGAUGUUGGGCUAAUAAGAAUUCGGUUGAUGUGUGUGAGGUAUGACAGGUUUGUACUUUUCUAGGUCAGGGAUGUACAGCGUUAGGUUUUCUGCCGAACAUUUUCUGCUCUAUUUUUUAUUUUUUUUCCGAACAAAUAAUGCCCACCAUGUUGUGGACUGAUGUGUAUAUUUGCUUUUUUUAUAUUCUUGUCUGAAUUAUGUUACGGUCUACUACAGGAAAAUAGGAUAAAUCAAGCAACUGAGGAAACCGUAUGAAAUGUAGAGUCUGCUUAGCAGUACAUUGAUGAUGCAGAAUUGAAACUGGAAUGUUGGCCUUCUUAUGCUAAUACUCAUGAUGAUGAUUUUUUGUAAUGUAAUUGGUUACCCAGCACACAACACCACACCUCUGGCCACCACUGUCCGUUCACUUUCCCCCGUCUCACAGUUCCCUGUCUCAUCCCACUCUGGGUCAAAAUGACUUUUGGGAUGAGGAACAGACUUGCCACUGCCAACAUGUAUUUGCUGCCUAGUUUUGAUGGGACAGUAAAUAGAUUUAAACAAU